GCAAGUCGAACGGUAACAGUCUCUUCGUAGAGCUGACGAGUGGCGCACGGUUCGUAACGCGUAUGCAACCUACCUCUAACUGGAGAAUAGCCCGGGGAAACUCGGAUUAAUGCUCCAUAACAUCAAGAUUCCUCCUGGUUUCUUGAUUAAAGUUCUGGCGGUUAGAGAUGGGCAUGCGUCCUAUUAGCUUGUUGGCGAGGUAACGGCUCACCAAGGCAACGAUAGGUAGGGGGUCUGAGAGGAUGAUC
rnacentral:rRNA from 1 species